rnacentral:rRNA from 1 species
UACGUAGGUGGCAAGCGUUGUCCGGAUUACUGGGCGUAAAGAGCGCGCAGGCGGUCGUUCAAGUCGAGUGUGAAAGCCCCCGGCUCAACUGGGGAGGGUCACGCGAUACUGCUCGACUUGAAGGCAGGAGAGGGAAGUGGAAUUCCCGGUGUAGUGGUGAAAUGCGUAGAUAUCGGGAGGAACACCAGUGGCGAAGGCGACUUCCUGGCCUGUUCUUGACGCUGAGGCGCGAAAGCUAGGGUAGCAAACGGG